UUAAGCAAAUACACACCAUUAAAGCUGAGAGCACUGUGUUGGAGUCUGUGAUUGUAUAUUGCUUGUGUAGUGUGUCAAGCGUGUGCGUGCUACACAUUGUGCCUGGAGAGAUUGAUGUUUUGUCAUCCACCUGCUUCUAAGCUGUAAAAGCAAGCGCAGCAAAGGCAAACCUACCCAGCUUCUAAAUCCAAACAAAGAAAUCUUAGUGGGCUGUUUACAUAUCUGUGGAAGGAAUAUCUGGCUUGUGUUGACGGGGUGCUAGUGGUUGAGAGAUCAGUCUCCGCUCAAUGGAGGAGUGGGAAAUCAAAACCUGGAAUGCUGGGAGAACUCCGUGGAAACUGAUUGAGGGGUGAAGUAUAAAUUGGAGGACGUAUACUUCCUGUUCCAGCUGAAGUGACCCGCUGGUCUGAGGUGGAGAGAAAGGGGCAAAAAAAGAAGGAGUAAUUUCAGUGGCUGUUUAUGGGAUGAAAGGCUGCGGUGAGCUCACCCUAUGGAGAGUUAACCGGUUGGAGGAAAGCCAGUGUGGCUCAAACAGAGAAAUGUGUGCUGGUGCCUGACAGAGCCUGUGGUCCGUUUAACAAGAAAGAGAGAGGCUGAAAGAGAUGAUGGCAUUGCUCAUUAAAUAUACGCAGGUCAUCUCUGACGCAGGUGAGGAACGACUUGGAACCACCAAGUUAGCUGGAUGUCGUUUUCUGUUGGCUUCAGCCUGGAAAUGCGCUGAUUGUGAAAGGGCUGCAGCAGGGCUGUGCUGGAGGAUCUCUCUCUUGGGCAGAUGAUCUGUGGCUCAACAGUGAAAAUGAUUUGGAAGAAGAAGAGGAUCAGCAUUCAUUCAGGAGUUCAUGCUCGGUUUUGCAAGUGUGAGAAAAUAUGAUGAUUGACUCUGACACGUCUCUGUAGAGUCGCAUCAAACAGCCACCGCUGUAGCGGUGAGGAUCUAUAUUUACUCAUCAGCCUUCUUGUUAUGGUAAUUAGAUAUAUUCCUUCCCUGGCAUCCGUUAAAUCCUAAAUUAGCAGUGACUUUAGACAAUUUCCAUGACAACUUGUUUCCACUGUUUUAUUUGCACGAUGGUAAUGAUGUUUUUUUUUAUCCUGGUUGUUAUAUUGGCUAUUGUUUAUACGGUCACUACAGUAGUCUUGUUGGUAAGCUGGUCAUAGACUGUAAUCACAAUAACAAGUCACACAGUUUUAUUUUUUUUAUUUUUUAUGAAAAUGUCUUUAUUACAUUAUGUCCCGAGUCUAGUGUUGUUUGCAUGCCGUCUCUUUGGUCAUUCCCUCGCCAAACCUCUGUGUAAACAAAUGAUGUUGUUAACUAAAAGCACAGUAAAUAUUUUAAAGUUUAAAAGUGUUUUCUUUAGCACCCGAUAGUACGUGUCGAGUUACACUCACUUGAGUUUCUUCCACUGGCCAGCAGAAGGCACAGUUGCAGCAUACCCAGAUUUCAGAGGUGCACCCCUACACCCUAUUCCAGCCCCACCUUCGUGGCUUUUGGGGAUAGAGUCCAACCCACCGGUGACCAGACACACUGGCUUCAACUCCACCUCCAAUAGCCCCAGUGCCUGCUGGGGGAAAUCCUUGCCACCCAGCAUAAACUGGCAUGUUUACAGGUCGUAACGUUUGAUACAGGAAGCAUUUUUAAAUGACACGGUCUUCUCCAAGAGAAAGCGAGCAUCUUCUGCUCUCUGCCAUACCCAGAUGAAAAGCCAGCGAAGUUGGCCAAAGUCAACUGGUUAAAUCUCUUAUAUAGUCUUGGCGGGGUGAUUGAGGAGACCCAUAAAUUCAACAGUAGCCUCUGCUGUCACUGGCCUCUUGGGACGUGCGGUCAUGUGGAUCAUCUUUUCGUAGAAGAACCUCACCGCUGUUCGUAGCGUUGACCUCUCCUGACCUGACCGCUCAGAAAUCUGCCCGUUACCGAGUCUAUCUGUCUCCUGUCAAGGUUUCACAAUCAUCUGAUGCAUCUUUUUGGCUCGAACACCUGGAACUCACCAGCCUUAAGACGACUUCUUUCCAGAAGAGUUUUUUUUUUACAGAAAUCAUCCCUUUUGGAAUCCAUCUCCUCGGAGGGAAGUCGUCCGCAGUUAAGACCUCCACAGCUCAGUCUGUUUGAACUAAACCUUUUGAGGACUUAGCCUUUCAGUGGUUAGUGGAGUCCAGAACUAAAAGGAAAAGAAAGAAAGGGAAAGAAAAAGAGUUGUGUGAUUCAGCGUGAUGAAACAUUCACCUUAAUGAGGCGUCUACCAGCUUCGGUUUGCAAAAUGUCACAUUCUUCAUUUACUCUGAUUUGCUUUCUGUAUUCUGUGUCUUACAUGAAUUUAACAAACACUUAUGAACAAAACAAACGUGUUUGUGUCCCAUGGACUAAUAAAUGAAUCCCUCAAAAGAAAAUAAGAGUUAAUUUAUGGUCUACACUCUAAAAAUGCUGGACUAUUUUCAACCCAGCUUUGAGUCAAAAAGGGACAAACCCAGCCGCUGGGAUGAAUUAAACCAGAAAGUGUUUAUAUUUUGACCCAACAAUCAGUUUAAACAACACAUAAACAAAGCAUAAGUUAAAUUACAACCCAGUGGGUAAGGUUCGUCUCUUUUUGACCCGAUUUUGUGUUGAAAAUAGUCCACCAUUCUUUUCUUUUUUUAAGUGUAAGUUGUUGAUUUCUGCACAAUAUUAGUCCAUAGAGGAAAAUCAAUAGCUUUGUUGUGAAAAAUUAACAACGUAGACCUACUACAGUUCAGUUAAAGGAUUGUUCUGAUGAAACACUAUUGACUGCAUUGAUUCUGCUCUACUGAAGCUUAUAUAACAACUUUUGCAGUGGUACUACAGAGUAUGAUUGUUUGUGACUGUGUUGAUGACUAUUUACUGUAGCUGAGUAGUAAAUAGCAACAGUACUGAAUACCUAUAGUUGGUAUGUGUUGCUUGGAAUGCAAUGUAUGGUAUAGACCUGUAUGUAUAUACAGACUGUAAUAAAUAACCCCGCUCACAA